UAUAAUAAAAUUGAAAUAAUUUAAUCAAUUUAAUAAAUUUAUUUUAUUUUUAUUUUAUUUUUAAUAAACUGAAAAGGAAUUUAUUAUUAUAAUUUAAUAGAAAAAUUAAUGUACCUUUUGCAUUAGGGGUUUUUAAAAAAAAAUAAAAUUUUAUUUUUCUCGAAAUAUUUUGAGCUAAAAUUUAAUUUUUCUAAUGUUUCAAUAUUAAAAUAAAAUAAAUUUUAGAGGUGAAAUUCUUAUCAAAAAAUAUAAUAUCUAGUUAAAAAAAAUUAAUUAAAUAUUAUUUUGUAAAUAUUAAUUUAUUUUUUAAAACUACAAAAAAAAGUUUUUGGGAUAAGCUAAAAAUUAUUAAAUUUAUAAUAUUUUAAAAAAUAAUAAAAGAAUUAAAAUUUUUCUAUUUAUUUUUAUAAAUAAAUUAAGUUAAAUUGAAAUAAAAGAAUUUAUUUUUUUAAAUUAAAUUUAAUUAAAAAUUUAAAAAAAAAUGAAAAUAUUAGUAAAAAAAUUUUUUUUUGUAAUUAUUAAUAAUUAAUUAAAAAUUAAUUUAAUUUAAUUUUUAAGAACUAGGCAAUUAUUUUUUUUGACUGUUUAAUAAAAACAACGCAUUUAGAUAAACAAUAAAUGCAAAUCCUGCUCAAUGAAAUUUUUUUUAAAUUGCUGUAGUAUUUUGACUAUACAAAGGUAUUGAAAUAAGAUUUUAAUUGAAUGCUAAGAGAAUGGAAUAUCAAAAAACAACUUUCUUAAAAUUAAAAAUUGAAAUUUUUUUAAUUUGUGUAAAAACAAUUAUAAAAAUUAAAGACAAGAAGACCCUAAGAAUUUUUAAAAUUUAAAUAAUACAUUUUUUGUUUUAAUUAAAUUUUAACUGGGGCGGUUAAAAAAUAUUAAAAACUUUUUAAUUUAAAAAUGACCCAUUAUUAAUGAAAAUAUGAUUAAAUACUCUAGGGAUAACAGCGUUAUAUUUUUUGAUAGAUCAUAUUGACAAAAAAGUUUGCGACCUCGAUGUUGGAUUAGGAUACUUUUUUAAUGAAGAUAUUAAAAUAAGAAGUUUGUUCAACUUUUAAAUUCCUACAUGAUCUGAGUUUAGACCGAUGAGAAUCAGGUUGGAUUCUAUCUUAAUAAAAAACAAAUUUUAUUUAGUACGAAAGGAAUUUUAAAAUCUAAUUUUUAGUUUUAUUUAUUUAUUUUAUUUGCAUCAAUUUUUGUAAUU
rnacentral:rRNA from 1 species